rnacentral:rRNA from 1 species
GCAGUCGAACGCGCAGCGAAAGGUGCUUGCACCUUUCAAGCGAGUGGCGAACGGGUGAGUAACACGUGGAUAACCUACCUCAAGGCUGGGGAUAACAUUUGGAAACAGAUGCUAAUACCGAAUAAAACUUAGUAUCGCAUGAUACCAGGUUAAAAGGCGCUACGGCGUCACCUAGAGAUGGAUCCGCGGUGCAUUAGUUAGUUGGUGGGGUAAAGGCUUACCAAGACAAUGAUGCAUAGCCGAGUUGAGAGACUGAUCGGCCACAUUGGGACUGAGACACGGCCCAAACUCCUACGGGAGGCUGCAGUAGGGAAUCUUCCACAAUGGGCGCAAGCCUGAUGGAGCAACGCCGCGUGUGUGAUGAAGGCUUUCGGGUCGUAAAGCACUGUUGUAUGGGAAGAAAUGCUAGAAUAGGGAAUGAUUUUAGUUUGACGGUACCAUACCAGAAAGGGACGGCUAAAUACGUGCCAGCAGCCGCGGUAAUACGUAUGUCCCGAGCGUUAUCCGGAUUUAUUGGGCGUAAAGCGAGCGCAGACGGUUGAUUAAGUCUGAUGUGAAAGCCCGGAGCUCAACUCCGGAAUGGCAUUGGAAACUGGUUAACUUGAGUGUUGUAGAGGUAAGUGGAACUCCAUGUGUAGCGGUGGAAUGCGUAGAUAUAUGGAAGAACACCAGUGGCGAAGGCGGCUUACUGGACAACAACUGACGUUGAGGCUCGAAAGUGUGGGUAGCAAACAGGAUUAGAUACCCUGGUAGUCCACACCGUAAACGAUGAAUACUAGGUGUUAGGAGGUUUCCGCCUCUUAGUGCCGAAGCUAACGCAUUAAGUAUUCCGCCUGGGGAGUACGACCGCAAGGUUGAAACUCAAAGGAAUUGACGGGGACCCGCACAAGCGGUGGAGCAUGUGGUUUAAUUCGAAGCAACGCGAAGAACCUUACCAGGUCUUGACAUCCUUUGAAGCUUUUAGAGAUAGAAGUGUUCUCUUCGGAGACAAAGUGACAGGUGGUGCAUGGUCGUCGUCAGCUCGUGUCGUGAGAUGUUGGGUUAAGUCCCGCAACGAGCGCAACCCUUAUUGUUAGUUGCCAGCAUUCAGUUGGGCACUCUAGCGAGACUGCCGGUGACAAACCGGAGGAAGGCGGGGACGACGUCAGAUCAUCAUGCCCCUUAUGACCUGGGCUACACACGUGCUACAAUGGCGUAUACAACGAGUUGCCAACCUGCGAAGGUGAGCUAAUCUCUUAAAGUACGUCUCAGUUCGGACUGCAGUCUGCAACUCGACUGCACGAAGUCGGAAUCGCUAGUAAUCGCGGAUCAGCACGCCGCGGUGAAUACGUUCCCGGGUCUUGUACACACCGCCCGUCACACCAUGGGAGUUUGUAAUGCCCAAAGCCGGUGGCCUAACCUUCGGGAGGGAGCCGUCUAAGC